rnacentral:lncRNA from 1 species
AUGUACAGCCGGACGCGCCCGGGGUUUCUACAAGAAACAGCCAACGAACGGCAAAAAAAAAAAAAAGCCUUCUCCGGGGAAAAGGGGGGGCCGUGGGGGGGCGGGCGUGGUCGCCAGUGGGGUGUCAUGGCCGCCGGGGUCAUCAUUGGGGUGUCAUGGCCGCCAGGGUGUCAUGGCUGCCAUUGAGGUGUCAUGGCUGCCGUGGUCAUCGCUGUGGUGUCAUGGCCGCCGAGGUGUCAUGGCUGCCGUUGAGGUAUCAUGGCUGCCGGGGUGUCAUGGCCGCUGUGGAGGUGUCAUGGCUGCCUUGGUGGUGUCAUGGCCGCCGGGGUCAUUGCUGUGGUGUCAUGGCCGCCGAGGUGUCAUGGCUGCCGUCGAGGUAUCAUGGCUGCCAUCGAGGUGUCAUGGCCGCCAGGGUGUCAUGGCUGCCAUCGGGGUGUCAUGGCCGCCAUCGAGGUGUCAUGGCUGCCGUCAGGGUGUCAUGGCCACCAGGGUGUCAUGGCUGCUGGGGUGGUGUCAUGGCUGCUGGGGGCAUUGUUGUGGUGUCAUGGUCGCCGUUGAGGUGUCAUGGCUGCCGGGGGCAUCGUUGUGGUGUCAUGGCUGCCAGGGGGUCAUGGCCGCCAUCGAGGUGUCAUGGCUGCCAUUGAGGUGUCAUGGCCGCCUUGGUGGUGUCAGCGCUGCCUUUGGGGUCGUCACGGUGAGCACCACGAUGACGUCACACCAACCACGAUGACCUCAAGCCAACCUUGUUGACCUCUCACCAACCACGGUGAUGACCACGGUGACCACCACGAUGACCUCACACCAACCACGAUGACCCAACACCAAUUAGGAUGACCUCUUGCCAACCAUGGUGAUGACCAUGGUGAUGACCACGAUGACCUCACACCAACCAUGAUGACCUCUUGCCAACCGCGUUGACUUCUCACCAACAUCGUUGACCUCUUGCCAACCAUGGUGAUGACCAUGGUGAUCACCACGAUGACCUCUUGCCAACCACGAUGACCCAACACCAACGAUGAUGACCCCAUGCCAACCAUGGUGAUGACCAUGAUGACCCAACACCAACCACGAUGACCUCUUGCCAACCACAAUGGUCCAACGCCAACCACGUUGACUUCUUGCCAACCACAUUGACGACCUCUUGCCAACCGCGUUGACUUCUCACCAACAUCGUUGACCUCUUGCCAACCAUGGUGAUGACCAUGGUGAUCACCAUGACGACCUCUUGCCAACCACGAUGACCCAACGCCAACCACGUUGACUUCUUGCCAACCCUGUUGACCUCUUGCCAACCACACUGAUGACCUCUUGCCAACUACGUUGACUUCAUGCCAACCAUGGUGACCCAACGCCAACCAUGUUGAUGACCUCUUGCCAACCAAGAUGACCUCUUGCCUCUUGCCAACCACGUUGACUUCUCACCAACAUCGUUGACCUCUAUGCCAACCACGGUGAUGACCAUGACGACCUCUUGCCAACCAAGAUGACCCAACACCAACCACGAUGACCUCUUGCCAACUGCGUUGACCUCUUGCCAACCAUGGUGAUGACCUCUUGCCAACCACGCUGACUUCUCACCAACAUCGUUGACCUCUUCCAGCCAUGGUGAUGACCACAGCGAUCAUCACGAUGACCUCACACCAACAACGAUGACCCAACGCCAACCACGAUGACUUCUCACCAACAUCGUUGACCUCUUGCCAACCACGGUGAUGACCACAAUGACCUCUUGCCAACCACGAUGACCCAACACCAACCACGAUGACCUCUUGCCAACCACGAUGACCCAACACCAACCACGAUGACCUCUUGCCAACCAUGGUGAUGACCAUGGUGAUGACCACGACGACCUCUUGCCAACCACGUUGACCUCUUGCCAAAGACAUUGAUGACCUCUUGCCAACGAUGAUGACCCAACGCCAACCACGAUGACCUCUUUCCAACCACGUUGACUUCUCCCCAACACCGCUGCCUCCUCGCCCACCAGAAGGCCCACCAGAAGGCCCACCAGAAGGCCCACCACCAGGCCCACCACCAGGCCCACCAGAAAGCCCACCACCAGGCCCACCAGAAGGCCCACCACCGGGCCCACCAGAAGGCCCACCACCAGGCCCACCAGAAGGCCCACCAGAAGGCCCACCAGAAGGCCCACCACCAGGCCCACCAGAAGGCCCACCA